AAUAGAGAGCCUGAUUAAAGGGCCAUUUUGAUAGAGUGGAUUAUGUGUUGCUCACCUCUAUUA
rnacentral:tRNA from 1 species